rnacentral:rRNA from 1 species
CAGUCGCCGCGGUAAAACGGAGGGGGCUAGCGUUGUUCGGAAUUACUGGGCGUAAAGCGCACGUAGGCGGCUUGGUAAGUUAGAGGUGAAAGCCCGGAGCUCAACUCCGGAAUUGCCUUUAAGACUGCCGAGCUAGCAGGUGAGAGAGGUAAGUGGAAUUCCGAGUGUAGAGGUGAAAUUCGUAGAUAUUCGGAAGAACACCAGUGGCGAAGGCGGCUUACUGGCUCAUACUGGACGCUGAGGUGCGAAAGCGUGGGGAGCAAACAGGAUUAGAUACCCCCGUAGUCCCUGUCUCUUAUAC